AAUGGGCGAAAGCCUGAUCCAGCCAUGCCGCGUGAGUGAAGAAGGCCUUCGGGUUGUAAAGCUCUUUCAGCCGGAAAGAAAUCGCGCAGGCUAAUACUCUGCGUGGAUGACGGUACCGGAAGAAGAAGCACCGGCUAACUACGUGCCAGCAGCCGCGGUGAUACGUAGGGUGCGAGCGUUAAUCGGAAUUACUGGGCGUAAAGCGUGCGCAGGCGGUUAUAUAAGACAGAUGUGAAAUCCCCGGGCUCAACCUGGGAACUGCGUUUGUGACUGUAUGACUAGAGUACGGCAGAGGGAGGUGGAAUUCCGCGUGUAGCAGUGAAAUGCGUAGAUAUGCGAAGGAACACCGAUGGCGAAGGCAGCCUCCUGGGCCAGUACUGACGCUCAUGCACGAAAGCGUGGGGAGCAAA
rnacentral:rRNA from 1 species